rnacentral:tRNA from 3 species
GAGAGAGGCUCGCAGCAGCAGAGACUGCUAAUCUUUGUUAUCUAGGUUGGACCCCUAGACUCACUCG